UGCGAUGAGCCGAAUGCUAAUGAUUUAGCAGACGCAAACAGCAACACAUUAACUGCCGGAUUUGCAGGUGUUGGAGAUUUUUAUUGUGGAAAAG
rnacentral:ncRNA from 1 species